rnacentral:rRNA from 1 species
GACGAACGCUGGCGGCGUGCUUAACACAUGCAAGUCGAACGGUAAGGCCCUUCGGGGUACACGAGUGGCGAACGGGUGAGUAACACGUGGGUGAUCUGCCCUGCACUUCGGGAUAAGCCUGGGAAACUGGGUCUAAUACCGGAUAGGACUCCGGACUGCAUGGUCUGGGGUGGAAAGCUUUUGCGGUGUGGGAUGGGCCCGCGGCCUAUCAGCUUGUUGGUGGGGUGAUGGCCUACCAAGGCGACGACGGGUAGCCGGCCUGAGAGGGUGACCGGCCACACUGGGGCUGGGAUACGGACCAGACUCCUACGGGAGGCAGCAGUGGGGAAUAUUGCACAAUGGGCGCAAGCCUGAUGCAGCGACGCCGCGUGAGGGAUGACGGCCUUCGGGUUGUAAACCUCUUUCAGCACAGACGAAGCGCAAGUGACGGUAUGUGCAGAAGAAGGACCGGCCAACUACGUGCCAGCCGCCGCAGUAA